rnacentral:rRNA from 1 species
AUCAGAUGUGCCCAGAUGGGAUUAGCUUGUUGGUGAGGUAACGGCUCACCAAGGCGACGAUCCCUAGCUGGUCUGAGAGGAUGACCAGCCACACUGGAACUGAGACACGGUCCAGACUCCUACGGGAGGCAGCAGUGGGGAAUAUUGCACAAUGGGCGCAAGCCUGAUGCAGCCAUGCCGCGUGUAUGAAGAAGGCCUUCGGGUUGUAAAGUACUUUCAGCGGGGAGGAAGGUGUUGUGGUUAAUAACCGCAGCAAUUGACGUUACCCGCAGAAGAAGCACCGGCUAACUCCGUGCCAGCAGCCGCGGUAAUACGGAGGGUGCAAGCGUUAAUCGGAAUUACUGGGCGUAAAGCGCACGCAGGCGGUCUGUCAAGUCGGAUG